rnacentral:tRNA from 1 species
CAAGACGUAGCUUAUUCAAUCUAAAGCAUUCAGCUUACACCUGAAAGAUGCCCUUUAAAUGGACCGCCUUGA